UGGCAAACCCCAGUGCCCCACAGUGUUGCAAUGCAGUGCACCGCAAUGCGUCUAGUGUAGUGCUAAUUUGGGUUGGUUGGCGCAUGUAAUGAACGGGUAAAUAAUGAGUUGUGUCAUGACUUUUUCUCAAUCUUGGGACGUAUACUUUAGGAGGACUGAUAUCAAUAAAACUACUUUUUCAUGAACAUUUUGAUAGGGCAUAUUGUUGUUUCAAAAUUGAAGCCAGACAAUAUGUAAAGUUUCGCCAUCUGACAGAAAUGCGGUCAGCGGCACCAGCCUCGCAAAAUAUACACCUGAAUAGUGUGGCAUAAUGCAUUGGUGUUCCACAUAUAUGCACCAGAAAGUUUUUCUCGAAGAAUAGAAAGGAGAACGUCAUGCAAGCUCUUUUAGAAGGAAUAUCUUGAAAACUUGUGUCGCUCACCAAGUUCGCACUUACUGGGCACAUUUUGCGUACAGGCUGACUUGAAUUUAGUAAUUACUGUAUGCUAUUUAAAUUGAAAAUGAAAGCUAGCCGAUUGCAAUAAGUACAUAUGAAGUUUAAUACUAUAGGAUAGAUACACUUGACAUGAAUUGCCUUGAAUACUGUAUUACCGAAUAAAGUGCCUUUAUUAUCACCAAAUAAUUAACCACAAGCACUAAGAGUCCAACACGUCAAGUACAAAAUGAAUAGGAACACUAAGUGUCCAAUCGGAUUCACCCGUGCUGGUCUUGAGUCACACGAUCUGUGCGUAGCUCAGGGCAAAUCUCGAAGAAGGAACUUCUUCUGGAAAUGCAGACGCUCGAUGAACUCGUCGACUAGCUUGCCGGGGAAUCCCCUUCUUCUGCAGACUGUCUGCCUUCACGUUACAUCUCUUUACCGAAGCGGUCUAAACCCCCUUCUGAUUCUCGCACGGCGGUUAUAUAGCCGUCACUGGCAUUCUCGAACCUUCCUAUCGGAGUCAUGCCCUCGUAGCAUGGUCAAAGCCUGGGAAUCUUCUAGUCUUUUCUCGCACCUUCGACCGCCGUCGUCGGAGCGUCGUCGAGGGGGUGGUGAAUCAUCCUGUUGGCGCACGCUCAUGCUGUAGUAAUCUCUCUCUCGACUCUCUGGGUGAGAAGGUGUCUCGGCGCCCACGCUCUCUCUCUCUGGUUACUGUCGCUUCGUCGAUGUUCUUCUGGACGUCUACACGCCGUUGGUCGUGUCACCCAUUUGAAGCGUUUACGCUCUCCCCCUCUGUUGAAACAGUCGCGGUGCGGGCUUGCUUCUUUCUCUGGCUUGCAUGACACGCGGCGCGCACCCCGACAACGCGCUCUUUUGUGACAAAUGGUAGCAGGUGAGCAGGCCUUUGCGAGGCUCAGAGACAGGAGUUGCAUUCUGAUAGGGAAAUGGUCGCUGUCCCUGGCGUCUGCAAGGACAUUCCAGGUACCCAAAAGUUUGUGAGAGCCAGGUAACGUCUGGUGUGGUGGCUGAUCGAGCCGCAUGUAGAGGGUAGCGGGUGUUCCUGCAUGACGAGUUAGGAAUGAAACUCGCUCUGCAGUUUGUAAAGUUAAUGAAUCACGAGCUAUUGUGUCCAUACUACUAUCCAUACUACCACUAUUGUGUCCAUAGCGCCCCUGCGAUGUGGGGUGUUGAAGUCUCUUCUAGAGACACAAAAAACUGGAAGUGAGGUUUAGAAUUUGGGCAAGCCAUAAUGCGUCCCUGUCACUGGGAGCAGGUUUCCAGUACACCGAUGACUCUGACAGUGGCUCGGAGCCAAGCUGCACAAUCACUCUCGUGAUUUCGCUAGUCACUGUUUAGGUGUGACGUUGGUACCUGCAUUGCUAGUAUUGAGCGUUUCACCAGAAUGUGAGAAUGACGGAGGGGAGGCAUAGUUUGUUGGUGAGCGUAGCGGGGUGGUAUAACGGCUGGUUGAAGACGCAGUAACCGCUCAUGGUGAUGGGCGAGAGGUUAGCUUCUUGCAGCAAUAUAAUAAUCAGGACUGGGUCUGGGCAGUCAAAACAGAGAAUUCUGCUUUUUUGUUGUGGAUACCAUGACAGUAUCAUUGAAGGAUAGUGUAAGGGAUUUUCUUAGGUUGUGAAGCCAUGUUGUGACACGAUGCUUAGGAGGGCCAACAUGGCGCUCAUCAUUCUGUCAAAAAAAUGUUCCACAGUUUGAGCGAACUAGGUGGCUACACGAAUGUGUUCGUUUUGUAGCAGACGGUUCAGUCUUUCCUUGAUUAAGAAAUGUUAGGGCUUCGCGCUAUGGCUCGGGCAUAGGAGCCAUCUCUUUUGGUGGCGUGACCCAUGUCACGGAUGUACGCGGCGUAGAGGCUGCAGUAGUCUGUGCACGCAAUUUUGGCAAGUCUGCUUUCUUGGCCACGUUUUUGAGAGAAUGAGCUGGCUGAGAUUUAUUGGCGCCCAUUGAAGUCAAGGCUGCUUCCUGAUGAGGGUUUGGGCGAGGAGGGAGUCUUGGCCACUUCCGCCGAGUCAUUUGUAGGGCGGCUCACUGGAGGCAGAGACUGGGCGCUGUGGUCUCCUGGUUGAGAUGUGCUAACAGUUUUUUCAUUGCUAUCAUUGGUGGGUGCUUUGGGAGCAUUAUUGCAGGCAAUUUGGGGCAUCUGGCGAUGUCGAGAGAUGCGUAGCUUGUGCUGAUAGCCAUGCUGGUUUGUGAGUUGUUUCCUUAAAGGGGCAAGAAUUAUCGGUGGCACUGUGCGGGCCUUGACAGUUUCUGCAUAUAGGCAGCUCAUGGCGGCCAUAUAUCUCAACACGGUGGGGUGAACGGCCACAUGUAGAGCAGCACAGUGCCUCUGACAGGCACACGCCGUGGGUGUCCGAGCAGGUAGCGAUGGGUGCAGACCGUCGCCUUAGGGUGAAACAGGGUAAUCUGCAUGUGAUGGAGGCAGUAAGUGAAGAAAUGUGGAAGUGUGGGCUCGGUGAAUGUCAUAAGUACGUUCUGGCCCUGGUUGUCGAGUGGACGUGCAGCAUCCGGCUUGCAAGUCCCACAGAUUAUUUGUGUGAGGAGCGUGGGGUCACGGUCUUUAACAUCAAAUCCAUGAAAUAUGAUAGAUGUUUCGGUUGAGUAGAAAUCGCUGCUGAUGGCAUGCAUGUGAUUCAGCAGCCAGUAGUAGGGUGACAGAGGAUGGCUCGGGCGCAGACAACGUGAAGGUGAGGGGAAGCGAAAAUGGAAGGCGUGAGGAACCGGAGGGGCUCUGUCCACCGUUCGCUGCCACGAUCGCCGCCGUCGUUAGGCUUAUUGCUGAAAUGGCAGUUACGCUUUCCUUUCAGUGCCUGUCAGUGUCGAGCUGGAGGUCAAAUUUUGUAGAAAUGUUCUCAAGGAAUAUUGCAGGUGGGUUGAAGUAUAUUAGCCAGUCCAAGUUCUGAAAGCGUUUGGGGAAAUCAUGAAAACAUUGACGGAGCAUUUCGAACGUGCAACUAUAUACUCGCUGGCACACUCACAGCAUCCUCCAAAACUAAGUGAGAGGACACCUUGGUACAGUGUGCCACCGUGACAGCUGCACAGCUUCAUCUUCCUUGUCCACCACGUUGGUUAAGUUGAACUUGGUUUCCAUCAACUUCUUGCCCUAGUAGGCUGUUCAUUCAACAUAUGGAGCAUUAUUUAAUCUGAAUGUCGCCUUUUCAAUCUAAAAGGCACUAGGAAGUAGCCUUGGGCAAGGUAGAAGACGCGACACUUACAUUUUUGCCCCUGAAAAAUCUUUCAGUCUGGUCAUAAAUAACUGGGUAAGGGUACUUUUUAGCGGUCUGAGCAUUCAAGCUGCGAUAAUGAACUAUGUAGGUGUUUCUUGCAUUUUUGUGCCAGAAUUACACGUUUUGUGCUGGGAGAAAAAGGGGGUCAGUGUCCUAAUUUUUAUUCUUUUCUACUUACUGACAACCUCUCAGGUUUUCUCUUUUUCUGUCCUAAACAGUCUUGCUGCAAAAGGUAUGCAUUGCUGUGUGCUGUGUUGUUCUGUAGUUGAACCAGAAGCAUACAAGCUUUUGUUCCUUUGAAGCUCUGCUUUCCUGAUCUGCCUUGAGAAUUUUUUAAGUGUUUGCACUGGUUGUUCAACGGCACCAUUUGAGGCUGGCUGGUAUGGAGCUGUUUAUGUAUUUUGACUCCAUUGCAGCUUUAGAAGUUUCCUUAUUUUUGCAUUACGAACUGCAGCCAAUUAUUUAAGACUAGUUCCCUGGGUACCCUGUACAGUGCGAUGAGUCUGUGUAGUAGGGUGACUGUCUUCUCUGCAGUCAUGGUGUUCAUAGUGUUCCCAUUUUAUUUGGCUAGCACCGGUGGUAUCCUUCUUGCAGUUCAAGUAAAAGAACGCGCAGCGCUGAAGGAGCAAUUGCUUGCAAACCUCAUGACAAGCAUUCCUUGUCUGUUGCCAACUCAUUUGUACGGCUGAAACCCUUUCUCUACGAAUUGACUUGGCCAUGUGUGUAAAGAAAAUUUCAUUACUUCUGACAUUACAGAGUAAUUUGCUAUCGCCUUGGCUAGAUCCUUGCUUGUUAUUGGCAGUUCAUCUGCUCCAGAAACAUGGUACUCGGCAUCAUCUCCCAUUUCUUCCUCUGGAACACUACAUGGUACCUGGAUGGUGUGUCCACGUUUGCAUGCUCUUCAGACUUACUAGAGAUAAUACAGUAGACUUCUGUUAAUUUGAUUCAGAUUAAUUAGAUUUUUCUGAUAAUUUGAUCUGAACCGAAGGGCCCGGUCAGCGCCUAUACAUUUCUGUGAGCCCAAACUUAUAUUACAGUCGAACCCGGAUAUAUCGAACCCACAUAUAACAAAUUGCUGUGCAUAACGAACAGCAGUAAAAUCCCCUUAAAAAUUUUUGCAUAAAAUUUUUAUUUUGUAUAUCGAAUUACCUAUAUAUCCCCUAGUGAAAAUCCUGAACUGGGAACUCAAGUGGUUACAACUGGUAUCAAGUGGUUCCAUCUGGUAAUCAACUGGUCCCAGUUGAAAUCCAACUGGUCUCUACUGGAUGCCUACUGGGAAGCAAGUGGUCCCAGUUGGAGGCAAAGUGGUUACCAACUGGUUCCAGCUGGGAGCCUACUGGGCCUCAUAUUUCCAGGUACAGACUAAUUUGCCAACAAGUGGUUCCAGUUGGAGGCUGAGUAGAAACCAACUGGUACCAAUUAGACAUCAUCUGGUGACGAAAUUUUCAGGUACAGACCAGAUUGGCCGUAAAUGGUCCCAGUUGGCUCUCAACUGGGCGUAUUGUAUCUACAUGAAGCAGCAACCUGUCAAAUCAUUUUAUAUACAGGGGGCUACAGAUGCACACAGUUGAAAGCAACUGGAACAGUGCCUUCCAGCAGUAAACUAGGUAGAAAUAUAUUGGAGCAUGUUUUUAUGAAGCUAUUGAGCUGGAAAACAAUUUAUUGAGCAAAUUAAUGAUUCUCAAAAUGGAUAGUUCCUUGGUCCGAUAAUGAAAGUAGUACUUCAGAUACAUUCAGAUGGAACUGAUACAUGCUCUAUGGAAGUUGCCAUUGCAUGAUUUUAGCAUAUUCAAAUUGAGAAAAAGUGCCCAUUAUUUUAUUGCGAAACAAGAGGGUGCGAGAUGAUGUAUCUAAUAUUUGCUGACUAACCCACAUAGUCAAGGCUGUAUAUGUGCAUGCAGUUUUUCUUCUGCGGGAGCAAGCAGAAUAGUAGUACAGGUGCACAAAUAUAUUUUGUUUGAUCGAAGACUAGGUACCUGUUAGAUUUCAGAAGGGGCCAGCCCCCUGUCAAGACACACAAAUGUAUGUCUGUUUUUGUAUGUGUGCCAACACAUCUCUGACUUGUACAAUAUGUACAAUUCAUAAAUAGCAACUCGUUUACUAAUUUGAAGAAACUUUUUCAUUCCAUAAUUUUGUGAGGUUUAUAUGGAAGCAGUGUACACAUUGAGAUCAGAUGCUCCAGGCUCUCUAUUUCAUGUCUGAAAGAAGAAGAAAAAAAAAAAAGGAUGAACACCAUAAAAUGUUUAUUCAUCUAACUACAUUUAUCCAAAGGCACAUGAGCAGGGCUUACAUGAUUAAAUCCAUACAAAGAUAUGUACAAUGCAUAAGAGAGAGUGCUUAAAAUACUGUUUGGACAUAAGAAACAGACUUUCAAAACACUGUUUGUUCAAUGUAAACAUUAUAUACCGAAGAACAAACACUGACACAAAAAGGAACUAGGAAGCAAAUAUUAAGAAAAUGCUCAAAAGGUGUUUUAAAAGGGUGUUCUACCGCAGAUAUUUAUGCCACUGAUUGCAGUAUGAGGUUUCUCAAUGCUUCAGGAAAAAUAUUAUUAGGGGCACAAACAUCGCUUUGGGAAGUUUGUUCCGUUUGUUUAUCUUAUGAGAGAAAAAAAGCACCAGCUUUAAUAAGUACA